rnacentral:misc_RNA from 1 species
AUCUUUUCUCUUAAAGCCAAUCUUUGGUCUUUACUUGUUCUUUGUCAGUCCAAAUAAAUUCUUGAUUCUUUCUUGGUUUCUUCUUUCUCUACCCGGAGAAUCGGUAUCAUUCUCUACUUAUAUGUAGUUGUAGAGCGUAAUUGUGACGGAGAAGAGCAGAAUGGAACAGAGAAGUAGCCCCUCCUACCGACCCAAGUUCACUAGGAAUGAUGAGAUUGAAGUCGCGGCAGUCUUGCUUAUGCUUCCUAGUUUAAUCGCUGAUGGCCUUCGAUUUUCAUUAUCUUGGGGUUCUAAAAAGCGGAGAUCUUGUUCCUAUGAGACCUCGUUUCAGAGCCGGGUUCAUUUACAAUCACCACCGCCCGUCCCUUCACUUCAUGGGAUUGGUUUUCUUCUGGGCUCUGCCUUUGACCCCGAGAAGGCUGCCGUCAAAGUCGAGGCUUCGAGUCCUGCCACGCCUCUCUCCUUCUGUCCCAGUGAAUCUGAUGAGAAGCCUAAGCGUUUGAAAAGAAAAGCCUCUGUUAAGAAGACGAAAGAGGAGUGGCUAGAAAUUAUGGAGCAAUACACUCAGAGCAACGAGUUACUUAUAAAGGAGAUAAAGCAGUUGAGGCAUUAUUACGAGGAGCUGAAAGCANUGUGGCUGCAAGCAAAGAAACAAGAGCUGAGUCUUGGCAAUGUUAGAGGAGAAAAGCCGCA